rnacentral:rRNA from 1 species
UACGUAGGGGGCAAGCGUUGUCCGGAUUUAUUGGGCGUAAAGAGCGUGUAGGCGGCUAGGUAGGUCCGUUGUGAAAACUCGAGGCUCAACCUCGAGACGCCGGUGGAAACCAUCUAGCUAGAGUCCGGAAGAGGAGAGUGGAAUUCCCGGUGUAGCGGUGAAAUGCGUAGAGAUCGGGAGGAAUACCAGAGGCGAAAGCGGCGGCCUGGACAGUUACUGACACUCAACUGCGAAAGCGUGGGGAGCAAACAGG